rfam:Stegodyphus mimosarum contig57994, whole genome shotgun sequence.
GCCUUCGUGGUGUAGUGGUCAGCACGCUCAUCGCGUAACCGAGAGGUCCGUGGUUCGAUUCCUGGCGAAGGUG